CAGACGUUGGUAUACGUUAGCUGGUCGUUGGUUAGUGAACAAUAGUCAAACGCAGACCAAAAAAAUCGUAGUGCAGUAAAAGCCAAAUUUACCAUAAGCCAAAUUUCUCUCUGGGCGCUGGGCAUCUCGGCCGUCUUCCUCACUUCCUCUCAAAACCCAGAACGACUCUGCAGCUCUUCACAAAUCACAAUUGGUUCCACUCAAAUUGAAUAUGAGGGUUUCGGAUUCAAUACCGAAUCCGGAGUUCUUCUUAGCAUUCACCCCACGGAGCUCAAAUUCCCUUUGAACCUCCAAAUCCAAAGGAAGCUAUAAAGUGGUUUUAUCUUGCUUCUUUUCAGGGCUAUGUCCGAGCUCAAUACCAACUUGCAAUUUGUCUGUAUCAGGGACGUGGGGCAGAUCGUAACAUGAAAGAAGCGGUGAUGGCGUCAAAUAAGGCCUCAAGUGACGACAAUAGCGGAAGAAUGAAGAGAAGAAAACUCAGAGAAAUGCUUCCUGCCAACAAAGGCGAGACCAAUGAAUCAAUUCAUGUUAGUACCGGAUUUCACAUUAGUGUGUUUGAAGGUAUGUCUUUGUUGAAGUCUGAAGUAGCUGCGAUAAAGUCUGAUGUGGGGAGGCUUAGAUCAAUGCUGGGAUGUUUGGAACCCAAUAUUGAGACAUUGAGACAAAAAUUAAUUGAAGUACAAGAUUUAGCCUGUGAACUGAAAGUUGGUGGGAUUGAAGGUAUUGUUGGUGAGGUAAUACAUGUUGUGACAACAAUGUGGCCAAACACCAUGCAUAAGGUUGCUGAAAAUGUUAUACAACCCAUGGAGGAGAAUGGUGAGCACAAUUUGGUCGCUGACAUUCGCAAGGAGUCACGAAAGAGGAAAUUUUGGCUCAGCCAUCCAAUUUGGAAUUUUAGUCUCAGCCCUCCAUUAUCAUUGGACAGCCGUGUGAAGCACUGAAUAUGUGAGGAAAUCCCUGCAAAUGAGGUUGACCGUAUGGAAGAUAAGAGGGUGACAGGAAAAGGAAAGGAAAAAAAUGGCAUGGUGGAAGAGGCCAAACAUAGAAAAAGAAACAAGAAAUUUCCGUUGAUGGGAAAGAUAUCACCAAAGGAUUCUAAGGUCUUAAAGUUCUUGUUUAGGAAGCCAAGAAGAGAACAUAAGUCCAGGGAUGAAGUUGCCCGCAGUGGAGAGUUUGGGGUUUCCCAUGAGGAUAUCCAAUGUCUUUGGCCAAUAGUCCCAAUUUCUUCCAAGGUAUGUGACCGCACUACGCUUAUUUACUAUUGUGUCAAAAUCUAGUGCAAUCCACACACUGCACAUACAGCUGUAAUCUUAAUAUGUGAGAUGACUAAAAAUGAUUCAGGUCAUAAACAUUUGGACUGCGUACAUGUCUCAGACCAAGUCCAACUCAUGGUUCUUACCUACUUUCUUUGCAGUACAAAGAAAUUACCUUGGUGGCAAUAACUCUGUUAUUGUAUCUAUAAAUAAACAAUGUUGAUAAUGACUCCUAAGUUAAUGUCUUCGUGCAUAGGAACAAGCCGGGUCAAAUGAGGAUCCAUCCAAUGUACCUGUUUCAAUUGCAUCAACAAUAGUUGCUUGUGGGCUGCAAAGGUUCCAUAGGCGGUUGAAGCAUUGUGUUGAGAUAAUAAAGGGUGAAUUCGUUGUAUGGAUUUUGUUUUGCUUGUCAUGUGUAUAAUCCCUGGUGCUUUUGCAGAUUUUCAUCCCAUUGUAUGAUGAAAUGACCGACCAUUGGUUUUUGUUGGUUAUGAAACUAAAAGAGAAAAUUGCUGAGUUGUGGGAUAGUGUGGCAGAAUUCACAUAAUUGAAUAGACGACUUGAGCUAGCAAGAGCCACCAUGCUUCUACUGCAGACGGUGUUUGGAAGUGCAAUGAUGAAGUCCUCAGAUGUUUAUUACAAUUUUCCCUCAUUUCACCUCUCAUUUGCAGAGGGUAACCAAACCACAGACAACAAAUACGAUAGUGGGAUCUACAUCAUGAUGCAGAUGAAGUGUUAUUCGGAUAAGUGGUUUGAAGGCUAUAAUUCGGAAGAGAUGCAAUCUGCACUUGCACUCGAAAUAGUCAAUAAUUCGAGCAAUGAACUAUUGAAAUCGGUGAUGAGAGCUGCCAUGAAAGGUGAAGGUUGCGGAGAAGGUAUUUCUAAUGCUGCAGAGGCCACAAAAUCCAAUGCCGAGGCCACACAGUCCAAUGUUGACGUUGCAACUGACUGUGACACAACAACGGACAUUAUCCACGAGAAAGUUCCUAACGGUCAGAAAUGUCGCAGCCAUCGCAGGAGAAAAUCUCGAGUCUGAUGAUGAUUUGGACAGUAUUUAGUCAUCCGAAUUUGUAAUGACUGACAAACUCGGUUUCACUUGUGUCACCCUUCUACUUGCCAAUACCCAAUAGUGUACCACUCUCCAAAAGGGUUGAAGAAUUGGCCUAUGCUAUACAAUGUUGUCGAGAGAUCACAAAAGCAAUGUCAAGGCAGAUAAAACCAGAUCAUCUUGCACUUAGACUGGCUGUUUGAGUUCAGAUAUUUAAGAUACAGCUCCAUUAUUUGUAUUGGUUUUCUGUAUAUGUUCAAAUGAAGCAAAUUUAACUUGAAUGAGAUUAGUUUUCCUAUAAAUGAAAUCUGUUAUAUGUUUUGCAA